ACCCCCCCUAAAAUAGAACAACUCCAGUUCAUCCAAGAUCAAUACAAACAAACACACAGGACGUAGGGUAUUACGCGAUCUAGCGGCCCGAACCUGUCUAAAUCGUGUUCCUUGUGUCACCAUUGAUUCCUUGAUUCUCGGCGACCCUUAUAGCACAAAAGACCACCUAGGGUACCCCCUAGGCGGGUUGCCGGUCUAAAACACUGACAGGAUAUGAGCCCG
rnacentral:lncRNA from 1 species